rfam:Dipodomys ordii contig_70746, whole genome shotgun sequence.
UGGCUCAGUGGUAGAGCGCUUGCCUCACAUGCAUGAGGCCCUGGGUUCAAUUCCUCAG